AAAUUGAAGAGUUUGAUCAUGGCUCAGAUUGAACGCUGGCGGCAGGCCUAACACAUGCAAGUCGAACGGUAACAGGAAACAGCUUGCUGUUUCGCUGACGAGUGGCGGACGGGUGAGUAAUGUCUGGGAAACUGCCUGAUGGAGGGGGAUAACUACUGGAAACGGUAGCUAAUACCGCAUAACGUCGCAAGACCAAAGAGGGGGACCUUCGGGCCUCUUGCCAUCGGAUGUGCCCAGAUGGGAUUAGCUGGUAGGUGGGGUAACGGCUCACCUAGGCGACGAUCCCUAGCUGGUCUGAGAGGAUGACCAGCCACACUGGAACUGAGACACGGUCCAGACUCCUACGGGAGGCAGCAGUGGGGAAUAUUGCACAAUGGGCGCAAGCCUGAUGCAGCCAUGCCGCGUGUAUGAAGAAGGCCUUCGGGUUGUAAAGUACUUUCAGCGGGGAGGAAGGGAGUAAAGUUAAUACCUUUGCUCAUUGACGUUACCCGCAGAAGAAGCACCGGCUAACUCCGUGCCAGCAGCCGCGGUAAUACGGAGGGUGCAAGCGUUAAUC
rnacentral:rRNA from 1 species